rnacentral:rRNA from 1 species
GGAUGCGAUCAUACCAGCACUAAAGCACCGGAUCCCAUCAGCACUCCGAAGUUAAGCGUGCUUGGGCGAGAGUAGUAACUAGGAUGGAUGGUGACCUCCUGGGAAGUCCUCGUGUUGCAUCCC